UAAAUACGCCACUCACAAUUAUUAUGAAUAAUAAACAAAGAAUAGUAAACAAAUUCUUAAAUAAAGCACGCAACACGGUAGCAUAACAGGAAUAAUACACCCACCAAGUAAUGCCCUGCCCCAACGAUCCAAUCUGGAACAGGGGCGGAUCUACGUUGGGGGUGAGUGGGCCCCUCAAACGAAAAAUUCCAUUAUGUAUAUAAGGUCAAAGUUGAAGUACAAGGAUAUAAAGCUUUUAAUGAACCCCUUAAUAAAGCAGAAAGGUGUAGCUCAGGUGCGCAGAGGGUUUAUUUUGAGACCCACAUCGUGGGUUCGAACCUCACUUGUAGCUCCGUUAGUAAUUCUUUAAAAUCUUUUCCACUUCUCAAUCUUUUU
rnacentral:lncRNA from 1 species